AUGUUCAUCAACGACGUAGUUGUGUAUCUAGCGAACACUUGUAUGGUCCGUUGAUGUCGUUGUCUUCCUUCUAAUUUUCUGAUUCUUGAUGAAUGCAGAUCCAUCCCUUCCAUUCCUGAGCUGACUUCAAACACCAUCCAUUUCAUUUGAUCACCUUUUGUAAUAGAGCAGCAAAGACGUUCUACACUCAUCACACAUACAUUAUGUUUCCCUCCUGUCUAGUUUUCUCUUGCUUGCAUUCCUCUUGAAAUUGGGGUGCAGUCAAUGCUUGCAUCUCUCUGUUUGAGCACAUUAACAAACGCAUAGUUUAAUGGCAGUUUACUCUGCAUGUAACAGUGGUUAUUUAAUGGAAAAAUGUGGUCUAGGCAUAGUUCUUGGUGCUUGGAGUCUUUAUUCUUAUGUUUUUGUGGGUCAAGACCUUUGAAUAAUAAUCAAGAUCUCUUCCAUCACUAUGUGCUCAUUUCUGUAGGGAUAUUAGACAAUAUGUGAACAGGGUUUCGGCUUUGAAGCUUAUUGUUCUGAGUUUUGUGGACCUUAAUGAUAGAUGAGGCCGC
rnacentral:lncRNA from 1 species